GCUGCCCCUCCGGGCCUCUCCGCCGCCCGCACUCGGACAAAGCUGUGUGGAGCGCGGCGCCAACGGGAGCACAGCACCGGCCCGGGCGGUCGCCGCGCAGGCGCGGUGCGCGACAGUGGGGGAUCACGGCACGGCGGCCACCUGAGGCGCUGGGGGCCACAGCCCGACCAUUUAAAGGCACAGUCGCCGCUGGCACUGAGCCACGGGCGGCCCCGCUCGGCGCUGUGCUCUUGGCGCUGCGGAGGGCUUCUAGAGCUGCCUGCCCGUUGACCCCGGCCCUAAGUCCUCCAAAGUCUUUCAGAAAUGUUUCAAAUGACCAAACAAAUGGCGAGUUUCUCAGCAUUUAGUCCAAAAAGCACCUGCUGGGACCCAGGCCUGCCAGCACCCUUGGGUGCUCCUCCUCCCCCGGCUCCUGGCCUCACACAGCAGGCUCACUCACCUCUGCUGCUCUCUGUCGUCCUCUGAGAGCAGCAGGACGGCCCUCAGCCCCACACCCAGGCCUUCUUUCUAUACCCCUAACGCACCCCACGUCCCUGUCUGCAUCCUUAUCAAAGUGCCCACUUGAGAACAAAAUAUUCCAGCGCACGUCUCAGGCCCUGUUGUGCAGUUUGCUUUUUGCUCACUGGUGUGGCACUGGUUGGUGCUGGCAGGGAUGCACCCAGAUGCCGUCAGCUCGUCCUGUUGUCGUAAGGUGGCUGUGCAAACAAACACCGCUCUCACAAGGCCGACACGCAGUGCUGAGGGUGCUCCCUGUUGUGACGCCCAACAGCUGUGCUUAUCGCUGUUUGGGGCAGAAGCUGGGAACAGGCAGCACCUCUGCACCAGGCCUUGCCCUGAAGCAGCGGUUGGAACAGCAUGUGGGCUGUGGGCUGCUGCUCCUCGUGCUGCAAAGCUCACGGUCGGGUGUGUUCACAGCUUAAAAUGCUGCUGGAAGAACGGCAGUGUGCCCCAGACUCAGAUACAGGCAUUGCAGUGGUUGAUCUGAGGUCAUUUGCAGCUCCAACCCCGGCAGUUACGAGCACGAGUUUAGUGGGAUUUGUCCACGUGAAGCAGACAGUUUGUGUGUUUGGUGGCAGUGUCUGCUGGGACCUUUGAACCAAUGCAAGGCUGGGGUUUAUGUGUGAUUUCAGUGCUGCCAAAGUUAUUUCAAAAGUAAACACAAUAAGAUGGCAAGCAUCACAGAACCUGCAAAAUCAAAAUCAAGCUACUCAGCAAGUCUCAGGCACAGGAGUUUGCCAGCUGUAUUAGAGCCGCUGUCAUUAAUGCAGAACAUAACAGUUGCAAAAGUUUAAGUCAGGAAGUGAAGAAAGCAUUCUGAAAUUCUCCAUCUCGGCACAAUCUCAUGUCCUCCUCUGGGCAGCAGCCAUGGCCCCGGGGUCAGAAGCUCAGUGCUGCACAACUGUGCUGGGACUGCCACUGCCCACAGCUGCUGCCUCUAUGGUGCCGUAACAGCAGACACGCAGCUCCUGCACGGUGCCGGAGGAGGCUGAUAUGAAUGCUGUUCAACCAGAGGCUGAAAUGUUGCAGUGAAUGUUCUUUGUUGUGUACUGCGUGUGCUUGUUUGUUCCUUCGUGUGCUGAGGGCUGCAAGAAGAAAUGUGUAAUCUAAAUAGGUUUUAUGAAACCUGGGUUCUAAUGCUGCCUUUGGCACACAGAGCCAGGCAGUAAACUCCUCUCCACCAACAUUUAUUGUCAUUCUAAGCAAAGUGCUUUUGUUUAUAAGCAGGCCUGAAGGCUCACUGGGCAGCAUUCUGGUGGAGAAGUGGGAUUUCAAAGCUGCACAAAGAUACUGAAGGUACUCAGAGGUCUCUGCAAGGAUCAGGACCAGGUGGUGCUGGAUGCUGUGUGCACACCUGGUGCCCAACAUGACCCUGGUGUUGACCACUUAACAUUUCUAGCACUUAAAUGGCUCUCCAGCUUGUCUUCCAAAAAUAGACUAAUGAAAAGAUCUCAACAAACUUCUGCAGAGAUCUUAGAUUUCCAGCUGAAGCUAAUGAGGUACAAUGCUACUUGACAGCAAAUUCAGUUUGGAGUGCAUUCUGCAGACACACGUUAUUAGCAAAAUGGUUGUUGGUGUCGGAAUAAAGAGGGCUGAAAGGCUUCUGAAUUCGUAGCAGAAUUCCUCACAAUAUUUUUUCCUGUGGUUUGCUGAUUAAAUACUUACGCUCUAUCAAUUCCUCCCUGAUGUCCAGAAUUGAGCGAGAGUGUAUUUAGGCCAGCAUCCAAUGCAUGUGAAUUCUGCUCUCCUCUCGUAGUCUCCCAUUUGCUAAUGGUAUGAAUGCUAUCACCAACAGGUAUCCAGCUACUUCCUCACAUGGAGGCAGAACACACAGCUCAGUUUACUAAUGGAUGGCUGAGGAAUGCAGGAGUGCCAUCCUUACCUCAGAGGUACCCUGUAGUUAACCCUAACCCUGGCUCAGUGCUGUGGAGUUGGUUAAAGCUACAGGAUUACGUGGGCAUGAUGUGUGAACAAAAAAAACCCAGCAAAAAGAUUUUGAAGGAAGACAGAAGAGAGACUUUCAUCAUCUGGGGCUAAAUUGUUGUCAGCACAGUCAACCUAUGGCUAAAUUAACUGUAUACUCAACGGUGGAAGGCGUGGAGGAAUCCUUGGCUGGAUACAAUUAUAGAGAGCAGGUUAUUUCUAUCAGUAUAGAUCUCAUUUGAAAUCAAAAUUCGGCAAUACACAGAGGGAAUCUCCAAGGCACUCCUUUGUAAUCUUUCUAUAUACAGUUAUUGCCUCACAGAGGCAAUAAGAUCUCAGCCAAACAUACCAGUGCUUCUGGAAGAAGGGAAAUGCCAAACCGUGAGGCUUGAGCACAUGAGCAAGACGUGGCUGCACAUGGGCUGAGACUGUUAAUUGGCCACACAUCUCCUCUUCAUGUGAAAUGGAAGCUUCAGCCUUAAGAUGAGCUGUGGUGCAGCCAUAGGUGGACACAGAGGCAAGGCUGCUGCUGGGUAACGAAUUUGCCUUGCAAAAACAGCAGCUUCACAUCUUGAAAAUUAUUUUGUUUAUUUCUUAGCCAAAAAGGAUGGACAGCCUAGCACGAGAGGAGUGAUGAAGGGUGGCUUAGCUUCAGAGCACAUCUGGAUGAAAAGCAGAUGCUAUUUUUGAAGAUUAAAAAUUGAAUUAAAAUGUUGACGUAUUUAAACAGUAACACACAUAUAUGCUUUCCACAGACUUCCGAAUAGCCAAGCAUAACCAGAAGUAUCUGGGCAGAGCCAAAACCAGCCUGAAUGCUGGCAUUUCUACCAGAUCCAUCAGGAAGGAGCAAAGGAACUGAAUAUGCAGUGCUUGGCUGAGAAUCCCUUGGUGGAAGGAAAACACACAGGUCCACAAACAUCUGUACGUGGUAAAAGCAAAUAUUAGCUUAGCAUUAAUGGAAUAGAAGACAAGCUGCAGGCUGUAUUUAAUGGAAAAUUAAAAUUACAUCUUUUAAUCUUACUCAUUGCAGAUACCUGUCUGUAAGUUCGAUUCCAGCCCAACUAUCAGUAAGGGCAGAACACAGACCUCAAUGGCACAGCACCAGGCUAAGUGUGUGCUGAAUGCAGCCAUGUCACAGAGCCUUCCUGGAGAGGCUGAAUCGGUACAUUUAUUUGGAGUCCAUCUGUAAGUUUACAGCAGCACUGUGAGCUCUGUUAGGAGUAUUUGUUCAUGCCUCACACAGGAUCUGUGCAAACAGCAUUCCAACUCCAGGAAAGUGCUUUUGUCUGAGAAAGGGAGUGAUGCUCCACUCACUGCAGCAGCUUUUGGUGGUGGAGCCUCUGAACUAAGUGAUGGAGUUCAGAACCUACAACCAACUGCCCACAGCUUUGCAGUUGUGCACACAGCUGGAUCAGACCUUUAGGUGACACCUAAACACGGGACAGCAUGGCUGGAAGAUCUGAAAGUUUGAACUCAGAGCACAGACUGCACUCCAAUGGCAGCUGCUAUCGCAGUAUGGCCCCUCAUGUCACAUGCAGGAGUGGAAGAACUGCUUUCCCUGCACUUCCCUAGCCCUGUCAUAUUCAUUCUGGAUUUAUUUACACUAGGGCCCCUUUAUUGAUUAAUACCACUGAGAGAUUUAACCAGCCACUCAAUUAUCCUGGCAGGCCAGGUCUGUGAUAUUUUAUUACCCCCUCCCCUCACAUACACACCAGCUCCCUGAACAGAUUUCAUGAAUUAUUGAAGGUUAUGUUUUAAUGCACUCAGCAAGGUGCUCUGGCAAGGGGCUCCACAGGUUCCCCUGCAUUUUAGUAUCAGAUGCAUUUCAGCUGCUGGCAGAGGGCAGUGAGGCUGUACUUAGUCAUCAAACCUGUUAGUGCCCACAUGAAGGACCAUUACCUAACCUGUCUGUCAAGCAGCUGAUUGUAUUAAGUUGAGGUUUGCCAGUGAAUAAGAGAGAGUCUGCAAAUAUUCUACUCGGAGGAGUCUGUUUUCAGGCUAAUUGGAAGCUAUUGCUUGCCAAAGUGCACACUGCUUGCCUGUAAGUCAGCAGGUUAUCAUCGCACAGUUCCUUACAUGAGGUGGGGUCUGGACAGGGUACAAGCAAGUCCAUUGCCAGCACCCUCAUCCCCCCACCUGCAUCCUUGCCAUGCAGAGAGCCUCCCAGGUCCAUCCUGGAGAAGCUGAGGUUGGUCAGGAGGACACAGUCCUUGGCUCAGCCUGCAGUCUGCUCCUCUGGAGACUGCAUUCUCAGCAACAGCUUCAGCACAUUCCAGUACAGGACGCUGGAAUCCAGUAGAGCCUUCCCACAGCAGCCUGCCUCUGUCCUGCCAUGAACCAGAAGCCUUGGUGUUUUUCCUGCUUCAAAUGUCGUUCUGCAGGGCUUUGCUCACUCAGGAAGGGUAACUGCUUCUAGCGAGCUUUCAGCUUGCCCUGGGAGGGGAACGCAAGUAAAACUAUCCUCCUUUUAGGAUGAAUUAGUUUGGAGGUGUCUGUUUUUAAGAAGCCCAGUAGAAUAUUCAAUUUCAGGUAGGCACUGCUCCUUACUCAUCCCAUGCAGAGACAGUGGAGAAAUUUGCAGACACGUAAAUAACAGCUGUUUAGAUUGUAGCAGUGAGCAAUGUGCACAGGGAUAGGACAAGACAUAAUGAGGUCAGGCAGCAAUGAAGGAGCUCUCUCCCCAACAUCUCAUUGUGUGGUUGGGUCUGGAUGCAAGCAGGCUGCCUGGGCAGCAGAGCACUGCAGUGUGGGAGCGUUUUUGGAGCAGGUUGGGCAAGCAUCUGGCAGGAAUGACACAAGCAAGGUCAAAGCACAGCCUUGGACAAGCUGGGUGUGUAAUGCUCAGCUCCCUCCAGCUUCACAGUGGUUCUGGGCAGAGACUGAGAACAUCUCUCUAAAACCAAAAGAAGAGCAGUAAGGAGUAACUCGGGCCUUGGAUGUUAUCAUAUCAGCUCCUACAGAUACAAAGAAAGAGCAGUUGGGAAAAGUCAGGCUCUUCCCCUGGACGUGUUCUCAGUCAGCUUUUUCAACUGACAAGGACAGGCAGCCUCAAAGAAAUGUACAACUGAGCACAGGUGCACAGUGCAGUGAGCCCUGACAGGGCUGUUUGCAGCAGUAAGCAGCUGGGAUCAGCGUGCUCACUGCUACAUCCCAGAGAAACAAGCCUUCAUCUCCCCUUCCUAGAAAUGUGCAAAGAGGGACAAUACUGCAGCACAGAAGCCCAAAGCAAUGAGGGGAAGAAAGCUUUUCAGUGGAACAUCAGGGAAGUUCUAGUGUUUAGUGCUUCCAGACUUGUUUUAUAUUAAAAAACACCACCACCACCACAACAACCAUCACCAAACUAAACACCCAGGGCUGCUACGAUGCCUGAUUUUUAAUUUCUUUUUUUCUUGUUCAUCUCUGAGCUUUUUGCUCCAUAAACUGAACACUGGGACAUGCAGCUCAGCUGAAGAACCUGGCUGGGGUCAAAGAUAUCCAGCUGCUGCCUUCCUGCUGACAAAUGAGGGAUGAGUUUCUGAAAGGCAUUUAAGUGCUUAACUGCCCUGAUUCCUGCCUCUUCCUCUCAUCUGUGUAAAUGACAAGGUCUGUACUACUUUGAUUUCGGUAGCAACUGUAAUACAGUAACUGUUACAUCCAACUGAAGAUGAGAAGUGUGCGCAUCUCACCAAGCAGCCCUGGGUUUGUUUGCCCUUUAAUCAAAGGCAAUGAGGUAUAGUCACCAAUAAAAACAAAUAUCUGAACAGAAGUAAGAGCAAAAAGGCUAAUCAUGAUUUAGGAGUUCUCUGCCCUUAGACAGUGCUCCCCUUGGGUAGGUACGAGCUAGGAGAGUUGCUCAGCUAAUAAGGCAGGAUAACCCUAAUAUUUCCCAGCAGAGGAUUCUGUUUUUGUUGACACGAUAAAGCAUUACUGGAUGUGAUCACGAUGUAUAUGCAGGCACCCAACCUGGCAGUGCUGGAAAAGAUCAUUCAGAACUAUGAGGACUACAGAGGUUUUCCAUGACUCAUGAAAUUUCAGUCAAAUGUUCCAUGACUCAUGCAUUAACCUCACAAAACCCAGAGGGAGGAGAAGCUACUGGGCUGCUGGUUGACAAGAGGCUGUUUAAAACUAACACAGCAUAAUAAGCAGGACACCAGUGUACUCUUUUUGUCUCUCGAGACAGUCGUAAAGAAGAGUUGCAUCCACCCACAUAUUAACGGGGGACCUGAGCUGAGGUUGUGCAAUUAGGAUGGGAUGUUUUUUGCAGCUUCGAGGCUUGAACAGCAAUAUUAAUAUAACCCAAUUACAGAAAACAUCGCCAGAUGCAACAAACUAUUAAUACUAGCUUAUAUUUAAAUUCAGUUCUCCUUUAUUUCACUGCAAAUAACAAAAUGAAGAGAUAAAACCAGAAAGUAGCCUUAAAUGAACCACAUGAGAAGUACCGUAACCAAGGUUAGCUUGCCUUCCUUCUGCCACAACACUGUACACUUGCUGAACUCUGUAGCAGGAACAGCCCGCUGCAGAGCUGACCCUGUGCACAGAGCAUGGAAGGGCAGUCUGACUGCACCCAGGAGUUUGGAAAUGCUUCCAGACUGCAUAGCAGAGGCCAUAGAAGCACCUGGGAUGCUGGUUGCUGAGCAGACAUCAAUCCAGAAGAGCAUGACGGGAUCAGCAAGGGAAAGCGUGUCCACUGGGGGAUUCACAGGGGGUAGAAAGAGCUCUGUCAUCUUUAAUUUGGUGUUCAGUCUCAACCUAACCCUUAACGUAUCUGGGAUCCUGAUGGCUUAUUUGAAACUCUGUUCUGCAACCAUAAUAAAUAUAUACCCAAGUCCAGAGAGCAACACAAACAUUUCGCAUUUAAAACAUCACAACCCAUUUGGUUCAAGUAAUUACACUUUGCGCCAUUCCAACAAUGCUAGAUAUUAAUAGAGAUACAGAUCCUGGAGAAGAAAAUAAGGAUACAGGAGAAAAGAAGGCAAAAGUGCCCUGUAUAAGUGGCAUCAAGGAGAAAGAGGGGAACACUGGAACUCUUUGGUAGAAGAGAACUUGUUUAUUUUUUGAUGAUGACAUCAUCCUGUAGUUUAUAAGAUGAGGAUUUGUCAUAACUUCCUUCAGAUCGCAGAGAUUAUAUUGAAAAUGAGAUUUUUUCUGUAAACAGACCAUCUUUUAAACUAACAUAACACCUUUCAUGAAAUAACCUCCAAGCACUUCACAGACCCCAGAUCACACGCUUUCAUAUGAGACCUUUCCCACUGUGCAGGCUGCCCUGCUGAGAGCAGGAGCCAGAGAAUGUCCCAUCUCACUUGUGUACAAACCUCAUCCAGAAGCAAUAAAGCCAACUGCACCUACUUGUGCCAGCAGAGGACCCACUUAUUGCCAGUCUGUGUGCUUAGGAACAGAAUCAACUUGAAAGCUGUGCAGCCACUGUGACAUCAGUUUAAUGUGUCAUGGGACAUCAAAUUAGGCCAUGCUAAGAAAUGUGCUGCUACAUGUAUGGGUACAGCUGUUGCAUAAGGCACAGAAGCAGUAUCCCCGUGAUGCUGACGCAGAGCAAGCCAUUAGGCACGAGCAGGGAGAGCAGCCAGAGCAAGGUGCACGCUCAUGUUCUCUCCUGUGUGCGUGUCUCAUGCCAGCCAUUGCAUGUGGAUGGGAGCUGGAAGGAUUGCAUCUUUCUAGAUGGGCAAUGCAAUUCUUCUUAGAGUGAGCUGCAGCGUCCCUCUAUAUGCAAUUAGGAUGCCCCAACAGCAUUUAGGGUAAAACAGAAAAACAAACAGGAACAAUCAAAAUAGAGCCAUCAACAGCCCCUGAGAGUCAACAUGGCACUGAGCAUGAGCUGCAGCCCACAGAGCCACCCAUGUCAAACCGACCUCAUUUGAUUAGAGAAAUUCUCUGUGGUUGGAUUCAGUUAGACAAAUACACCCUGCAGCAAAUGAUGCCAUUUUAACAACAUAAGCAUACUCUUAUUUGAAUCACAGAUGAUCUGUUGUUGCAUGACAAACGAGAUGCCCUCCCCGUGCUAAUUUAGCCAGAUCUCUCGUGGCACAGAAGAGGCACAUGUCUGUCUGCAUCACACAGGAAACGUCUCAGCUCCCCCUGUCAGCACAGCUUUGCCCACAUAAAGGCAUCACUAUGCAUGGCAGCAGUGAAUUCCUUCGCAUCCCUGCCAGUAGCAGGGGUCAGCAGGUCCUGAGUAGCACACGCAUGCUGGGUUUGGGCUGGCCCUUCACUGCUCUUCUGUAGCAAAUUCUUGCCAGCUCUUCAGCUUUUAACUUGCCAACAUUAGGCUAUUUUGAUAGUGGGAAUGAAGAACCACUGGGCUGCUGAGAUACCUUCCUGCUCACCUCUGGCAGGGGACAAGAUGCAAACAGCUUCAGAGAAAGAUAAAUAGUGAGGAUGUUCCAGAUUCACUGUGUGCUGCAAUGAAAGGCAGCAUUACUCCAGUUCUGUACUGCACACAGUGAGUGGCUACGCACGGCUGACUUACAUAACAUCUGCCCUUUCUUACUGUUGUUCAAGAAACCAAGGCCUCUCCCACGUUCACGAGCUAACUCCAUUGAAGUGCAAUACCCCUUAUCAGCCAGCUCAUUGUAACAGGUUUGCUGUGUACAGGUGUUUUCCAGGAAGUUCCCAAUGGUACGCCCAGUGCUGGCUGCAGGAGCUGUUAUCAGUCAAUUGCUCCUUACCAGACAAUGAUGUAUGCAUAACCCUGCGAAGGGUUUGUGUCCUGUUGAAAAAGGAAAGCUGUUUGCCACAGUUCUCUCCCUGCACUCGUUCCUUUGACCUCAACCCACUGGCAGCGCAGGAGCUCCAGGAACAUGAGGGAUUUAACUUCUGCUGCCUCCUCAAGUGUCAGCAAACAGCGAGGUCAGGCCAAGCUGACAUACUGAGCUUUAGCAUUUCUAAUGUGGACCCUAUAGAAUCGAUCCACCUUUACACUCUGCUUGGAAUAUCUACACUUUUGUACAUGCAUUUCUUGCAGCCCUGCUAGGCACGCUGCUCUGCCAGGACAGUGCUUUGUGAGGAUACCACCUCAGCAGUGACCUCAGGAAGAAGCAGGGAGCUCAAGGAGCUGCCAAAACCCAUCCUUUUUGGAAGUGCAGACAGCUACUGAAGCAGGCAAACAGCGCUUCUCAUCUGCUGUGUGCAAUGUGUGCAACUAAAAAACAAGCCAGAAGAAGCCUCAUCUCUGACAGUAGUUUUUUUUCCUGAAGCUCUUGAAGUUUCUAGUAGCUUUUCAGUCAGCUGAAGUAGAGAUGAUUUAAUUUUAUGCCAUAAUACAGAAAUAAGGGGAGUGCUGCACGCUGUGUAAAAUGGAACUCAGGAGACAUCUUUCCAAGUACAGCUCAGAGAGGAGGUAAUUAUAAAAGGUGGUUAAGACUGAAGAGUCAGUCCUUCACAUUUCAGGGCUAAUGAAUUCCUGAUAAGAAAUUUCUGAGUGAAAAAAGGGAAUUGUGGGGCUAAUGGAAAAAUCCCACAUUAACUGGAGAAGGCAAUCAGAAUUUGUCAAGGAAAGGAGGUUACUCAGCUCCAGACUGCAGUGAGUGAGGGCUGGCAGCAAUAUGGUGCUCUGAGCAUAACAGAGCAUCCAAAGCCCUAUCGAGAAAGGGGAAUGGAAAAAGGUAGAAUUCACACACAAGAGCACACGGAGAUGUCCAGACCUCAGUGACCAGCCCGUGCCAACCACACAGAGCCCAAGCCUUACCCCAGACUGCAUCACUUGCACAAGAACUUGCAAAAACUGAUUGCAUACAAAAAAACCCCACCCAAAACAACCAAGAAGAAAUGUGGAAGGACUCACAGUUUAUUUUACAGCCCACGUACCAUCAGCAUGUCACUCAGAAAGGGUCCAGGUGAGGUUCCAGGGCAGAAGCAUCCACCAUCCGUGUUACAGCAUCCUGCUCCUGGACCAACCCACUGAGGCAAUGUGGGCUUUCCCAGGACUCUCCAAACUCCAUUCUGGCAGAAUGGCACGUGAACUCCUGGUGCUGGGUAUGCCUGUCCCUCCUUUAUCCCCUCAGCUUUGAAGGGGCCCACUGACAUCAGCAGCACAGCUUCGUUGCUGAGCUCACACUCGGUCCUUUCACUGCCCUAUCCCUGGCCCUACCAAGUGCUGAAGCACAGCAGCUUCCCUGGGACCAAGCAGCUGAGAUCUGAAGCUCAUUAUGUAAUUACUCUGCAAACAUCUCAUCCAUAUAAUAGCUCCACACCUGGAGAAUCUCAGCCCUCCACACAGCUUUGAGUGUGGGGCUUUCCAACGAAAGGCAGUUUGAAUUGAUGUUUUUUCCCCCUCUCUCCAGGAGUUCUGAGGUAUUUGUGCACAGACAGACAGCUAGCAGCCCAGGCAGUAACACAGCUCCAGCAUUCAUGGUGACAACACUAUGUUGCAGGAAGCUGUGCACAAAGAACACACGUUCUCCAUUUGACGCAGGCUUUUUGUUUUGUUUUGAAGGCCAGAUUUCAAUCACCCUCAGUCAUCUUCCCCAGCUUAGAGCCCAGCUGUUAAUUGUAGGUGUUUCAUCUCGGCAGGGCUGUGAAGCCAGAGCCAGCCCAGCGGAAAUCCCACACUGCCAGGCUCUGCAGCAGUUGGCACUUAUUGCCUGAAUGGAAAGAGCAACAACUGAGCACAAAUAUUUGAGUUCCUCUUUGUUCCUGGCAGGGCUCUUGCAGCAUACACGAGAGCAGAUUGCAUUUGUUUUGGCUGGGAUGGGAGAAGCAACGCAGAGUGCCCAGGUAUGAGCUCAAUGCAGCACGCAACAGAGGCAGAUGUUGUCCCGGCUGUACCCACAUGCACAGGGCUGGAGCAGCAGCUUGGAUGGUUUUAUCAGCCAGGGUGAGCUGCUUCCUGGGGCCUUAUUGGGCUGCAGGUCAAGGAUGGGUGUUUAUCGGGACGGGCAGCUUUGGCAGUAAAUCCUCUGCCUGUGGGUGUGCACAACUGAACCAGCUACCAGAAGCCAGCAGUCACACGUAAACAUUUGGGCAGUCCAGACACAGUCCUAUCUCAAAGCUGCUCCAGCUUGGCCACCAGAGCAAAGCACCAGCAAAACAGCAGCACCUUCAGAGCGAAGGCAUUUUCCUGCCCUUAUUUCAGAACACAGCACUGGAGGGCUCAGUGACCCCGGCUACGCGACCCAUUUCUCCCCACUUCCAUCUGCAAGUCCAAAUAUACAGCACUGCUGCUGCUGCUUGUAGGGCCCAUUUGUCUUUACCAGCAGUCCCAGCAGGGUCGCCUUGUAUUCGGUGUUGUGGAACCCCACGUGAGACACUCACCCUCCCCAAGAAGCCCAGGAGCAGAGGCCCUACCACCUGCAGCCCCAGAGGUUUGGUUCCACUGAGAGCACUGCUAUAAUCCCAACAGCCGUAGAAAAACAAACGCAGCUGCUGGUCAAUAGGUCUGACUGCCUGGCAGGGAGAGCAGAGAGAAGGGGACAGAAAAAUGCCCUCCAUCAGACACUGCUGCAGAGGCCCACCUCCCAGCUGGCUGCCCCCACCCCAGGAUUUCUGCACCCAGGAGGGGCUGCUCAUCCAUCACCAAUAGAGAACAAGUUCUGAAUACAUCAUUUGCAGCUGAGUUCAUUUCCAUUUUUUUUCCCCUCCUUACUGCUCACCCUGACCAAAUGUAGUGUGGUUCACUAAUGAGUGCGCUUCAGUUUUUGUUCUGCCAUGCAAGAAAAUCCAAUUUUUGUUCUGCAAUGCAAGAGGAAAAAAGAGAAGGAGAAAGCCCAGCAGCAUCUUUGCCACUCUGCCCAUAGAUGGGCUCACCCAGAUGCUGCAGCUGCACAAAGCAGUCCUGUGCUGCAGCACUGGGAACGGCAACCCAAAGCCUCCACCUCCAGAAGUUCAGUGGGAAGAUGGAUAAUCAAUACUGAAUUAUUCUUCAGAAUUUGCUGAGCACUCCGCACUUCUCUAUGCUGAGUUCAAGUGAGGCCAGGGCCCUCUCCCAGCCAAGAACAGCAGGGUGCUUUCCCUUUGCUAUCAGCAGCACAGUUACACCCCAACAGCUCAGCACACACUUGCAAAGCGUGGCCCAGCCCAGCCCAAACAAGGCCAGAGAUAGCGUGCACAUGAGCACACACACAGCAAGGACAGGCUGGCAGCCACGUGGCCCUCAGAGCCUGCUGGCAGGUGUUUGUUUGCUCACCCCGGUAACACAAAGGCAAGCAGGAAGCAGGUAUGAAUUCAAAUUGAAAGCUGUAAUUGCAUAGAAGGGCAUGGCAGGAGCAUGGACCCUAUGCCUACAGCAGCACCGGAGGUGAGGAGGCCUGAUAGCAGGGUGCCAGCAGGAUGUGCACAGCCACCAGAUCACUGCAUACAGAAGAGCAUUCCACCCCACUGAUGAGAUGCUGCUCAGGGGAAGCCCAGUGGCAAAGCAGCAUCGGGGCCAUCACCCUUCCCCACGGGCAGCCCAGCAUGGGUCAGGGUGCAGCUGAUGGAUGAGCCGCUGCAGUGACAGCACACACAGACCAUGGUUUUCCAUUGCGUCACCACUACCUUGCUUGACCCGGAGGUUAGGAAUAACAGUCCACCAGGCUGCCAGAACAAAGCUAUUUUGGGGCAGGCUUCGGGCUGACUCCCUGCACAGGGCAGCUCCGAGGCAGGCCCAGCAGCAGCCCCAGGAGCAGGAGGGUGCUGGGACACGGCUUCACUGCUGCAGCACGAGGCAUCCCAAGUGCUCAGCACGUGCUCCAUUGGGCAGAAUUAGCACGGCCUUGCAGAACACCGCCCACCUGAGCAUGGCUUUUGCUUAGGGAGGGCUGGGCAAACAGGAAUUCCCCCAUAUAUGCGGCACCUCAGGAAAAGGAGAUUCACUGCCAAACUGCUCUAUCCCGCUUCAGCUUCUGCACACCCGUUUCCAAUGCAGACUGGGAAAGCAGCUGCUGCCCACAUCUGGGCUGAGGUUUUAAAGCUGCACCACAAACAGCUGUCAGAUCUCACGUCACGGGCAUCUCGCCGUGCAGGGCUCCGUGGCAGCGGAUAGGGAAAAAGGGCAGAUGGACACAGCAGUGCAAAAAGGGACAGUUAAAGCAGAGAAUUGCUGUAAAACAUCUUUACUUUUGUGCGCUCAGAAAAACAGAGCAGUUACAAGCUUGGGUUGAGCAUAAUGACAACAUUUCAGAGAAGUUGAAGCGCAGUGAUGCAAGUAAGUGGGGCAAAGACUUCCACUGCUGCUGUGGAAAUCUCUCCCCAGAGCUCUGUUGGACGGCAGGCUUUUAAGGAGCCUCCACAGUUCUUCACAAGCCCUCCUGGGCCACGGCUAGCCCAUUACUUGGUAGCUUCACAAACAAGCAAACCCAUUCUACAGCUCUGCCCCCACUGAUGCACAGAUGUGAACGUGGGCAGUACACAGCCCAGCAGCUCAGAGCAGGAGGGUGAGUACCCCAGCACAGAGGAGCUGCAGGGUGCAAAACAGUCACACAACUAGCAAAGAGCAAUGCCCACAUACCACUCAACACCGCAGUUUCCUAUUCCCCAGCCCAAAGCAGCCUCAGUCUCAAAGAAGCCAUCAGUUUUUUGUAACUGCCCAGUGGAGAGGGGAAUAUCAUCACUGAGCAGCCCCCAGAUAAGCUCCCUCUUCUGUUCUGCAGGCACAGCAUGCCAGGGCCUUUCCAGCUUGGUUCUCCCUGCAUUACAGUUGAGCUGGUGAGCUAAAUAAGGCAUUUCUACCCUUUGAAUCUCAACAUACAAACAGGCUUCUGCAGUCAUAGCUUGUGCUCCCACCUCCAAACCUCUUUUUAACAUAUCGAGUAACUGAUCUCAAGUGAGACCCCAAGCUUUCCAGCUGUACCACAUGUGGGCUGGGGUUGGCUUGUCGGAUACAGGGUGGGAAGGCCUCUCCCCAGGAUGCACAUUUUCUCACAUGAAGCCCAAAGAGAAGUCACCACAAACCAAGCAGCACAACCCUUAAGUCUUGCUGCAGCCCCUUGCAGCGCUUGGGAAGUUCCAUCCCCACUGCAACAGAGCAGCACUGUUGCAGACACAGUGCCAAGCACUGAGAGCUGCUCAGAGCAGGCUGAUUGCUGCUCCAGCAACUGCCUGGUCUGAGGGUUGUUUUCUGACUGUUUGGGGUGCUCAUCCAAGCUCAAAGCUGUCUUAAUAAAAAAAACCAACAACAGAAAACCAAACACACAUCCGUCCUGUAUCACAGAGGGACAAGUCCACUGGAGCUGGCAGCGUAACACUGAGUUGAGGUUUUCACUGCUGACAGGACAAUAAAUCUCACCAGAGGUUUAGGAGUUUUACUUUAUUUCCAACUGAAGACCAGAACAUUGCGUGGAGGAUGGGGAGCUGUGCUGGCAGCUCCUGCAGUAACCUUGUAGCCCCUGGCCUUGCCAUACCAACUUGUAUUGCAGACGACUGCUUCCCAGCUAACAGCCCCAGCACAUGCCUACAGAAAUCCCCCACGUACCAUCCAGCUUUAAUAGCCUCUCCUAUUCUUAGCGCAAGAUUGUAUUCUUAUAGCCUGUUGCUCUGCUGUGUACUCCCUGCUUUUGGCUGUCCUAUACUCCUCCCUGGCCUGUACCAGCCCAUGAGGGCCAGCCAACUGCCCCACCUAGAAAUGGCAGUAAAAAGCAAGCAAGUGACCCACAGCACUGAGCUUACCAGGAACUGCUGAACACAGAGAGCCAGGACAACCCCUUGCACAAGGCAUCCCCCAGGCUUGCUGCUGGGUUCAGCCUGGUCCCACAUCACGUGCACCUGGCAGAGGAGAUGGAAAAAGCAAGGUGGUGGGGCUGGAGGCAGGGCUAGGAUUUGUCCUCUCCCAUAUAGUCACCUGAGAAGCAAAAACCAUCUCUAAAAGCUAUAGCAAAGCAGGAAAAUGCUAGAAGCACCUACCAACCUAUGGGGCUGAGCCCCAGCACCUGCUCUCCUGCCCACAGCUCUGCAAUUGCUGAUUAAACCUGUGGGGGUUGGGGGGGGGGGGGGGGGAGCUUUCACCCUCAAUCAAUCAGAAUGACUCAUUUUACCCCACCUCCCGGGAUGAGGGCUGGGUGCUCCCUUCCCCGGGGCUGUGGGAGGCAGCAGCCCAUGUUACACACACAGCUGAUGUGUGAUUUCAAUUAGAGGACAGAGGAGGCCUCCUCACAGCUUUAUUGUGUUUCUCAAGCCGUGUCACGUCGCUCACCAUGGCACGUCCAAGAUUAAUUGUCCUUAAUGUUAUCGUUUUAUUUUUUAAUCCAGACGUUGCUAUAGCUUUGGCCUUUGAAAACCGCUUCUGCCCACCUUACUUUUUCCUCUUUCCUUUCUCUUUUUUUUUUCUAUUUUUUCUCUUUUCUCUGUCUUUUUCUCCCCCCCCCCCCCCCCGCUCCGCCCCGUGCUGUGCCGGUUGGGGCGGGCAGUGCCGGGGCUCUGCUGCCCUCCGGCGGCCUCACGGGGCCGUCCCGUGUACCGACACACGGACGGAGCCCGGGCAGCCCCUCUGCCUGCUGCUCAGCCCCGCCGCCCUCCUCGGGUUUGGAUAAAAACCACCGUGGCUUUGCCCCCCCCGCAGCGUCCCCACGAGGGGAUGUGUCAUGGUGGCUCUGCCCAGCACAGUGGCACGAUGACCCAGUCCGCCUCUGCGUGUACCUCUGCAUCCCGCUGGAGCUGGAGGAGCCGUUCCGCCUCCUUGCCCUCCACCAGGACCAGAGGGAAGCCCCAGCACAGCCGAAACCUUGGGUUCCUUCCCCGCCCACUGCUGAGGGCUCUUGGUACAAUGGUGUCUUUGUGCUGUGGACAUCUGCUCCCAAUGCCCGGCCCUCCGGCUGUGACCCUCGGGCAGCACCGACCCCGCUGGCCCCACGCUGAACCAAUGACCUCCCAGGGAGACUCCCUGGCUGCCAUUUCCAUCCCAGGGAGUGAGAUCAUCUCACAUCCGCAUCCAGGGCUCACACAGCAGGAUGGCAACACCGUGGGCAUCCCGGUUGGCUUUUGUCCCGUUGUGUUGG